rfam:Brachypodium distachyon strain Bd21 chromosome 2, whole genome shotgun sequence.
CUCCUACUCCCUCCGUUCCAUAAUUCUUGUCUCUAAUUUGCCCAAACAUGAAUAUAUCUAUUCCUAAAAAGUGUCUAGAUACAUGUAAGAUUUCGACAAGAAUUAUGGAACAGAGGGAGUAUUUG